GCGCACUAUAUGCGCAGAAACACAUUUCUUAGCUUAAAGGAAAACGGCGAUUAACUUCAAGCUUGUAGCUUAGAGAGUAGAAGGGCUACAGCAAGUGGAGUCAGCACUUGGAGCAAGUCAACCUCGGGCUAAAUCACCUUCGCGCUAAAGGACAAAGGGGGGAGGGGUGAUGUUUUUCAAAAAUAAAAACUCACCUUGUCCUUUCACGCGAAGGCUUUACCCUCGGAGAGUGAGGUUCUAGCAGCACGAAAAGAAUAGUGUCUUUUUCCAAAAAAAACAACCCUUUUUUUCUCAACAAUGCCUCUUUUCUUCGUUUUCAGGUUGAAGCAACUGAGAGUGUCGAUAUCAACUAAACUCCCGUUAUUUUUCUAGGUCAACAAAACUCGAAAACAAGUUUUUAGUUCACUUAUCUUGUGAACUGUUGAAACACACCUGGCCUUGUUCAAAAGAAACUGGGACUAAUGUUCCCUUGAAAGAAGGAAUUUAAAGGAGGGGUAACGUUUUCUUGCAAAACACAUCUAUCUCCAUUCCCCCCCCCCCACAAGAGUCCAGCCUCGGGCGAGGCUCGCGUAACAAAGACGAAGAGAAGACAGGGGUGAUGUUUCUUCAGAAGUUUCAACUCCUAGCUUGGGAUAAUGGGGACAAAGGACAAACAAAGCUAUCGCACAAAGAAACUAAGGGGGGAGGGGUGAAGUUUUUAAGGAAACAAAAUAUUCAUCGUUUCUUCAUGCUACAACUUUGUUGUCUUUCAAGCGGAAUUAGCCAAACACCAAAAUGAUUAAACCAAGUUGCGAACGUCAAAAGCUAGGUAUCUUUGGGAGGGUAAGUUCCAACCGAGCUUUGAAUAUUUACAACCUGGCCAACAAAGGCAGCCAAUAUUUACAACAAAGUCUUUCUUCCCACAAAAUAAUUCUCGCGUGACUCUAGAAUUCACUAUUCUUCUCCGGCACCAUCAUCACCCUUGCUUUUGGCUUCGCGCUUCGCUUCCUCCUCCCUGGUCCGUGAAAACAAAUAGAACAAUGUCAAGAAGUGUUCUAUAAAAAAAACCUGAAGUCUAACCUUUGCAAGCUUUUCCUGAGCAAACUGCCGCGUAUACUCUUGUCCGAAGGCAAUCUAGAGUCACUUAAAGAUGUUUAACUUCAUGGCCCUCACAUUCUUUGACUUCUCCUCCGCGCCUAGCUCUAAGGCUGAAGGAAAAUCAUAACUCCGAUCCGCAAGCAGUAAGAAGUGGGUGCAGCUGUGCUUUUCAAGGAGUUGGAGCGUGCUGUCAAGGCAGAAGGCUGCAGCGAAGUCACUGAUGCCUAUGAUAACUUUGGGCAAACCUUCAAACUCAUCUCUCAUCCACUCAAAUAUCUCCAUUACUUUUUCGUCACCUGGGAAUGGGAGAGGCUCUGUGCCGAACUGUGCAAGAGUAGCCUUGUAUUCCUCAUAAAGCUCGGCGAACUUCCCUUUAAGAGCGCGUUCUACUUCAUCAACAAAAUCCUUCUUCUCCUUAAGUUUGUUACCAAAAAGUUGAAUCGCCUUCUCUUUCUCUGCAAUGGUUUGCGUAUCCCUUUCUAUGGUGGUCCGGAGUUUCUCUAUAACUUCGAGAUUGUCAUCAAAACAUUGCUCCAGUUUUUCAUUCUCCUUGCUAAGUUUCUCAUUUUUCUCCACGAGCUCACUGCAAGUAUUCGUCAACAGGGUAUUUUUCUUCUUAAGUCCAGAGUUGAUCUCGGUGAGCUCGCUC
rnacentral:lncRNA from 1 species